CCUACGGGUGGCAGCAGUGAGGAAUAUUGGUCAAUGGGCGGAAGCCUGAACCAGCCAAGUCGCGUGAGGGAAUAAGGCCCUACGGGUCGUAAACCUCUUUUCUAAGGGACGAAGAAAGUGACGGUACCUUAGGAAUAAGCUCCGGCUAACUACGUGCCAGCAGCCGCGGUAAUACGUAGGGAGCGAGCGUUAUCCGGAUUUACUGGGUGUAAAGGGCGUGUAGGCGGGAUGGCAAGUCGGGCGUGAAAACUAUGGGCUCAACCCAUAGCCUGCGUUUGAAACUGUCGUUCUUGAGGGAUGGAGAGGCAAGCGGAAUUCCGUGUGUAGCGGUGAAAUGCGUAGAUAUACGGAGGAACACCAGUGGCGAAGGCGGCUUGCUGGACAUUAACUGACGCUGAGGCGCGAAAGCGUGGGGAGCAAACAGGAUUAGAUACCCUUGUAGUC
rnacentral:rRNA from 1 species